rnacentral:rRNA from 1 species
CCUACGGGUGGCAGCAGUGAGGAAUAUUGGUCAAUGGACGAGAGUCUGAACCAGCCAAGUAGCGUGAAGGAUGAUUGCCCUAUGGGUUGUAAACUUCUUUUAUAUGGGAAUAAACUGUUCCACGUGUGGGAUUUUGUAUGUACCAUAUGAAUAAGGAUCGGCUAACUCCGUGCCAGCAGCCGCGGUAAUACGGAGGAUCCGAGCGUUAUCCGGAUUUAUUGGGUUUAAAGGGAGCGUAGGUGGAUUGUUAAGUCAGUUGUGAAAGUUUGCGGCUCAACCGUAAAAUUGCAGUUGAAACUGGCAGUCUUGAGUACAGUAGAGGUGGGCGGAAUUCAUGGUGUAGCGGUGAAAUGCUUAGAUAUCACGAAGAACUCCGAUUGCGAAGGCAGUUCACUGGACUGCAACUGACACUGAGGCUCGAAAGUGUGGGUAUCAAACAGGAUUAGAUACCCCAGUAGUC